UCCUCGAUAGUAUAGUCGUUAGUAUCCCCGCCUGUCACGCGGGAGACCGGGGUUCAAUUCCCUGUCGGGGAG
rnacentral:tRNA from 1 species